rnacentral:RNase_P_RNA from 1 species
AGCCGGUCGCGCGAUCGCGGGGGCAUAUGCCAACGAGGAAAGUCCGAGCUUCAUAAAGCAGUGUGACGGAUAACGUCCGCCGAAGGUGACUUCAGGGAAAGUGCAACAGAAAAUUACCGCCUGCGCUCUGCGUAUGGUAAGGUUGAAAAGGCGGGGUAAGAGCCCACCGGCCUUGCGGUAACGCAAGGCGCAAUGUAAACCCCACACGAAGCAAGAUAGGAACGCGUCGAUAUACGGUCGCUUGCCGUGUCGCGUUCGCAAAACGUCGCUUGAGUUUGUCGGUAACGGCAAAAGUAGAUAGAUGAUCGCGCCAGACAGAACUCGGCUUACAGACCGACUCG